rnacentral:rRNA from 1 species
GGUUAAAAUAAUUAAGGGCACACAAAGGAUGCCUAGGUAGUAAGAGCCGAUGAAGGACGUGGUAAGCUGCGAUAAGCCUAGAUAAGUUGCAAUCGAACGUAAGAGUCUAGGAUUUCCGAAUGGAGCAAUCUAUUAAGAUGGAGUCUUAAUACGAAAGAGGGAACCGCGUGAACUGAAACAUCUAAGUAACGCGAGGAAAAGAAAGUAAAAAACGAUACCCAAAGUAGCGGCGAGCGAACUGGGUCAAGCCUAAACCUUAAAUAUGUCAAGGAUACAGCCGUUGUAUUUAAGGGGUAGAGGGACAGAGUGGUGAAGAACUGUAAGAUAUUCAAUAUAGUGUAUUGAUGAAUUAGAAUUAUCUGGAAAGGUAAACCGUAGAAGGUGAGAGUCCUGUAUAAGUAAAUCCUUACACAUAUAACUUUGCUCCCAAGUAACAUGGAACACGAGGAAUUCUGUGUGAAUCAGUGAGGACCAUAUCUCAUAAGGCUAAAUACUCU